rnacentral:rRNA from 1 species
CCUACGGGUGGCUGCAGUAGGGAAUAUUGGACAAUGGGUGCAAGCCUGAUCCAGCCAUGCCGCGUGCAGGAAGAAGGCUUUCUGAGUUGUAAACUGCUUUUGCCAGGGGAUAAAAAGGCGAUGCGUCGCAAAUUGAAGGUACCUGGUGAAUAAGCCACGGCUAACUACGUGCCAGCAGCCGCGGUAAUACGUAGGUGGCAAGCGUUGUCCGGAUUUAUUGGGUUUAAAGGGUGCGUAGGCGGUUCUUUAAGUCAGUGGUGAAAUACUUCAGCUUA